GGCGCUGUUCCCGUUGCACACUCUUCGGUACACGCUCUACAGCACCUGCAGGUGUUACAAGCCAGCAGACGAGAACCAAGUGAUAGCACAUCAGGUCCCUCUUUUGAACAGGAAGGCAGGUUGGGC